rnacentral:lncRNA from 1 species
GUGGUACAUGGUCUGUAGUCCCAGCGGCUUGGGAGGCAGAGGUGGGAGGAUCUCAAAACGCAAAAGUCAGCUUCUGUAAUUUAGUGAGGCCCUAAGCAACUUAGCAAGACCAUGUCUAAAAAUGAAAGGGGCUAGGGAUAUGGCUUAGUGGUUGUGCAUCCCUGGAUUUAAUUCCUGGUACCAACAAAACAAACACUAGGGAAAAUUAUAUCAUUGCCAAACAAAAUAAAUAUCAGUUUCUUACUAUAGAGUAGGUCUCUAAAGUUUUUAUAUUCUUUCUGUUAAUGUUGACAUUUUAAAUUCAGAUAGAUUGAAUAUAGUAAAGUUAUGAUUGUUUUCUUCUUUCUUAAUCCCAAGGAAAUGAUAGAAAAUAAGAAUGAAAACAUGAAAGUGCUAGAAAACAAAAGCCAGCAGUUUUGAGACAUUCCAGCAGGGUAUCAAGUGGAAGAGAUUGGGCUGAGAAGUUAAGAGAAAAACCAUAGCCAAGAUAUCCUGCAGAAGCUUUGAGGCUUAUAAUGGGGGAAGGAAUUUGCCAUAGUUUAAUCAUGUUAAUUCAUAGAAGAAUUGCACUGGGAACCCCUGCUCUUUUCUCUUCCCAGGUAAAUAGUUGACAGAAGUAACUUUUCUUCAGGCUGAGGACUAAGAACCACUCUUGAAGAAAAGGAUUGUUCCUGGAGAGCUCCUAGGGAAGGUAUGGGGUUGUGAUAGGAAGGCUGAGUGAGUGGGUGGAGAAGUGAAAAAAGCAGCACUUCAGUUCCAUAGUAAGGCCUUUUUACUUUGCCCUUUGUAGAGAACAAUAACUUCUGAUUUGUCAACCACAUACUUCCCCAGAACCCUAACUCCUGAUCUGAAGCAGACACACCGAGGAAACUUUGUCAGCCACUGGCAACUUCAUGAAGUUUCCUAAAUACGGAUUUCCAAGCACUAUCAGACAUUAACGAAAACUAACAGCUGGGAAGAGAAGCCCCAACAACAAACCCUGACAUAAAGAAAUAUAAUUCAGGGACUAGAAUAUCUUAAAAAAAUUCAGUAGUAUCAGAUUUUUGAUAAGUCAGGCACAAGUUCUUGUCUAACUUGCUUAUUCCAGGGGUUCCUUCCAUAUAAUGAUGGCAUCAGGCAAAAUAGAUGAAGCAGUGUUAAUCCGUAUGCAGUUUACAUGACAACAAAAGUCAGCAGGGGUGGGGGGUGGGGGAAUGUGCAGUUCAUUUGUUUAUUAUGCAGGUUUACCUUGUCCUACAAAAUUCAGAUUCUUCCUUGUAACUUUGCUACUCAAAUGUUCUCCCCAGGUGGAACUACCUAGAUAAUUUGUUAGCACAGUUCCAUUUAUUGGUAUAAUACAAUAAUUUUUCAUCAUAAAAGGUGAUAUAAUACAUCAUAAAAGGUGAGGGGGUACUUACAUUCUUGUAGAAGGAGACACCAUGAUAAGCCAAUCCCAAAAAACCAAAGAGCAAAUGUUUUCACUGAUAGUGGAAGUUAAACCACAAUAAAGUGGGGGAGGGGAAGAAGAGAAGUUCCAUAGAUUAGACAAAGGGAAGGGAGGGGGGAUAGAAAUAGGAAAGACAGUAGAAUAAAUCUAACAUAAUUUUCCUAUGUACUCAUGAAAAUACCUAAGUGAAUCCCACCAUUGUGUUCACCCAUAAUUACAAUAAGAUAUAUAUACUUGUAUAAUUUUAUCAAAAUUGAUUCUACUUUCAAGUAUAACUUCCGAAGAACCAAUUAAAAAAUACCAAAUAAGGUGAUAAACUGAGGAUAAAGAAAAUAGCACAGGAGAGAAAAUUUGGUAAGGCAGGAAAUUUGAGAAUGUGUUGUAAUUUUCAACAGGAUGGUCAGUGUAGGCCACACUGAGAAGGUGAAUUUGCACAGAGACUUGAAGGGAAUUAUUUACAUGUGUGAGAAGCUCUAGUAAUAGCACAGAAGCCAGUGUAGUAGCUGGAGGCUAGUGAGCAAAUGAGAGUAGCAAGAGAUGAGUUCAUGGGGCUGGGGAUGUGGCUCAAGCAGUAGCGCGCUCGCCUGGCAUACGUGCGGCCCGGGUUCGAUCCUCAGCACCACAUACAAAGAUGUUGUGUCCGCCCAAAACUAAAAAAAUAAAUAAAUAAAUAUUAAAAAUUUUCUCUCUCUCUCUCUCUCUCUCUCUCUCUUAAAAAAAAAAAAAAAGAGAGACGAGUUCAUAAACGUAAUAAGAGUUUGGAGGUGGCCCUAUAGUUCAUGUAAGAUUUUGCAGCCUUUGUAAAGGUUUGGCUUUGGAAUGUGAUGUUUUAAGUAAAUAAAUGUCUUGAUCUUUUAAACAUUUUGAAAGGAUCACUGUAGCUGCUAUGUUGAGAAUAAACCAUAGAGGGGUUAUUUCUGUGGUGGAAUAGGAAGACCAGUUAGGAUAUUUCAGUGUUUUAGACUGAGAAAUCCUUGCAGUAUGUGCACUGCACCAAGGUGUUAGUGGAAUUGAGAUGAAAUGGUAAGAUUCAGAUGAACUCUGAAAGUAGAACUUCAAAUAUUUGCUUAUGAAUUUUGAAUAUAGAUGUGAAAGACAGGAGGAAAAGGAUGAUUCUGAGUCUUAUAUUCUAAGUAACUAUGAGGACAAAGUUACCUUUAACUAAGCUGGAGAAAGCUACAGGAAGAAGACAUUAAAGAGGGAAAAUCAGAAGUUGAGUUUGGAUAUACUAAAUUUGAGAUAAAGAUGUUUUUGGAGUUUGGGGAAGAAAGCUGAUCUGGAAAUGUUCAUAUUGGAAUUGUCAAAAUACGGGUGAUAUUUAGAACUUUGAGAUUGGAUGGAAUCACUAAGGGAAUGGUUGUAGAUAUUAAAAAGAAGCAAUUGAAGAACUGAGCCCUCAGGUACCUACAAAGGCAUCUGAGAAGCAGCAGCUAGAGAGUCAUGGAGUUUUGUGACUUGGAGGAAAGUAAAUGUAUCAAGUAGUAAGAGGGGGUCAGCCUUGUAAAAUGCUGCUGCUAAUCUGGGAAGAUGCUGACGUGAACUGACCAUCGUUUUAUUUAGAAUACAGAUGUCAAAAAUGACCUUGACAAAACAAAUUCUUACCAAGUGGUGAGGGUGUGUGCCUGACUGCAGAAGGUUUAAAACAGAAUGGCAGUAAAAUUAAGUGCUCUUAAUGGAAGUUAUUUGGAUACAAUAAUUAUCGGUGGAGGCAUUUCUGGACAAAAUUUUCAACACAGGCAUUUUAGUAGAGUUUUAGUUAUGAUUCCUUCAGUGAGCAACAACUUGUUCUUCAGAAUGGUUUGCUACAGAAUUUUAAUAAGUAUUCUGUGAAAAAACAAUCAUGUUCAAAUAAGUUUGUGAAAUCUGUAUUAAUAUUUAAACCUUGUUGUAUAUAUUAUAUUUCUUUAUAGGUGGAUACUGUGGUCUGAAUAAUUAUGUCCCUCCAAAGUUCAUGUGUUGAAUCUUUACUUGCCAGGCAUGGUAUUAGGAGUUGGGGCCUGUGGGACGUGAUUAGGUCAUAGGGGCAGAGCCCUCCUGAGUAGGAUUAGUGCCCUUGUAAAAGAGCCAGAGAGACCACUGGUCCUUUCUGCCAUGGGAGGUUACAGUAUGAGGACAGCUGUUUCUGAACCAGGAAGAAAGCUCUCACCAGACAGCAAAUCUGCAGGUACCUUCAUCUUAGACCUCCUAGCCUUCAGAUUGAGAAAUAAAUUUGUUUUUUAUAAGCCACCGACUAAACAGUAUUUUGUUAUAACAGUUAGAACAGACGAAGACAAUGUGCUUCUUAGAGCUUUCAGUCUUUAUCUUGAAUCUUUGGUAGAAAAUACCCAGUGUUAUUUGCCAUACUUAGCAGGCCAUGGAACCAUUUUUACCAAAUACCUUUAACCAUAUCCAAGUGUGCUACAAUAAAAGCUUGGUGAAUACUAGAUUAAACAUUGAAAUUAUAACAAAUAUUUUGAACACACACAUAAACACAUACCAAAUAAUACUUAAUGUAUAGGAUCAUGGCAUAUAUUAGGCUGAUACUUGUGCUCCCAUUAGCUAUGGAUUAGCUCUGAUUGAAAAAGGUUAUCCCAUCAGAGCCCAUUAUGGUUUUUCUUUAGACUGCAUUUUAUCAACGUGCCUUUCUUUUGAUUACUGUUCUAACUACUUGAAUAAUGUUCAUAGUAUUUUUUCUUCAGGAUUAUUUUUUCAUCAAUAAUGACAUCAAGCAAAUUAUGUGAUUAUAAUUUAAAUACGAAUUCCUUUAUGUUCCCAAGUAAAUAGAAAUCAUGAUUACUAAAUUGUAUUUUAAAAAUAAGAUAGUAAUUCUUUUACUAAUUGGACCAGUAUUAGCAUUUUAUGGUGUCAAACAGGUUCUGAGAGUUGAAUAGUAAACUGAGGUAUUUCUCUUCAGUGAUAAAAUAAACAGUCAUUCACACACAUACAUUAUAUACAUAUGUAUGCAUUUUUUUGUGUGAAAUAUCCUUUGUGACUGCAAAAUAAUGGUAUUAAUAUAAAUUGGUCAAAAUAUUAACAUAUGUAAUCAGUCUUUCUGGAAUUAUUCAAUUUUUUACUUUGUAUAUAUGAAGUAAAAAUUAUUGGUCUUAUGUCAUUCCUGAUGUAAAUUUGUAUAACAAAGUUUCUCUUAAAUGCUGGUGAGGUGCUAUCUGCUGUAGAAGAAAACAAAGGAUUCUUUUCUCUUCCAACCCCCAACCACAUAAAAAAAUAAAUCAAACUGUGACUAUUAGGUUAAAAUCAAAAGGAUGAAAAGGGAGAGAGGGUGAGAUGGGAGGAGAAGAACAGAAGGCACCAAGUCUAGAUAAGCAAUGUAUUAAGUUUUGGGGCCUGGAGACAGGAGCAGGGGAGUUGCAGAGUAACAUGUAGUAUUUGGUGGGGGAAUGUGGUCAACAGAAGUUUCUCUACAAAGUUUUAAUUAAACAGAUUUAUUAAAAGUAAUAUCAGGUUCUAAGAUGAAUGAGCAAUAACUUUGAAGUUCUGAAAAGGUUUUUUUUUUUCUUUUCUGGUACUAGAGAUGGAACUCAGGUGCACUCCACCACUGAGCCACAACCCCAACCCUUUUUUGUAUUUCAUUUAGAGACAGGGUCUCAUUGAGUUGCUCAGCACCUAUGCUGAGGCUGGCUUUGAACUGGCGAUUCUCCUGCCUCAGCCUCCUGAGCCAAUGGGAUUACAGGCAUAUGCCACUAUACCUGGCAGGGAAAUAGUUUUAAGCCUAGAAACAAAAAGAUCAAUUAUUAAUCAAGGAUGAGACCAAAAAACAAACAAACAAACAAACAACAAUAACAACAAAAAACCAUCUGGUACAACCUGGGAAAUGAGACAGAGAACUGAAUUUGUAUUCUCACAUAGGCAUUAAGAAAGCUAAAAACAAAUUGAGAGCAAACAUUAUAAUUUGUCAUUUGGAAAUUUCUUGAAAAAGUUUUCUUUCAUAGAUUUAAUUAUUUAAUUUAUAGUGAAUUUGUUUAUUAUAUUACAGAUGUUUUCUAAUAUAUAUACAAAGCAUAAAAGAUUCAAUUACAUUUAUAGGUAAUUAUGUAAACUGUGCCUAACAUAUGGGAAGGAAAUGAGAAGAAAAGGUCAGGUUAUUAAUUCUACCAUUUCUCAUGGUAGGUAAUCAUCUGUCUAAAGUUAUAAACCAAUACUAGUGAUUUAAGGGUAUUUGAAAUUUUAAUGACAACCAUCAGAAAAGCUCUGACAACAGAUACCAGUAAUACAACUUUUAAGGAGUGGGACUGGAAGGCUGGGGAAGACUUCUUUUGCUUUUUACUUCAAUUUGUAAUGUUUGAAUUUUUGUUUGUGAAUGCAUUUUGUUUAUACUAGUAUAGAGGCUUGCAGGUUCAGGUAACAGAAAAUUGUAAAUUAAAUUUCCUGAAGCAAUAAAAGGCUUAUUCUCUAU